GUUUUAAUAGUUUACAUAAAAUAAUGAUCUUGUAAAUCAUAGAUAAGGAAAUCCUUUUAAAACU
rnacentral:tRNA from 1 species